GGGAAAUUGACAGCACAAACACCACUGUGAGCAAACAAAGCUUGCUUGAAGAUGGCGAAGACGUGAAGUCAAUGCGGCCGUGACGUGAUUGGCUGGAGCUUCGUCUCUCGGCGUAACUUCCUGUUUAUCUUGUCCGGACAGUGAAGAAAACUGGAAGAGUCACAAAACCGGUUUGGGUUACUAAACAUUGCCUGCUUCCAGUAAACAGCAAGGAUUACUGCUGUCAGGCACGG